ACAUUUAUAUUGUUAAUCAUGAAUUUUAUUUUCUAUAAUUAUUUGAUACUCAGAAUUAUCAAAUCAAAAUUGAGUAUUAUUGAAAAUGGUUUGUAAUAUGAUUCUGUUUAUUCACAAUACUAAAAUGUUAGAUUUUAUUUAAAGGAACGAGUCAUUUUUGCUAAAUUCAGCCACUGUUUAUAUAUAUUUAAUUCUAAUUAGACAAAUAGGCCAAAAGUUACGCAAAUAUUAAAAAAAAAAUCACUUGGAAAAAACCAAUAUCUUUAUACAAAUUUCAUCAAGAGUUGCAUGAUCAUGUCUUUAAAAUACUUUUUUCAAAAAAAAAAAAAAGACUUUGCCCAUCAUUUAACUUUCACAGAUCACAAAUUUCACUGAGAGUAAUUCAUCAUACCAGAAGAAAAAACCAUAAAAGUGCAAGGGACAGUCAUAAUACCCACGAAGAUGUAACAGGGGGCACCCAAAUUAAUAUUCCUUAUUCAUCGAUUCGUCGAAACGCCAGACAACCGAGAAAGGAAAUCUCCCAGGAACCCCAAAAAUCUCAGAUUCUUUGCUUGCUUCCUUUUUCAUCCUGCUUCGUUUUCGGGUUGGGAAUGGUGGGAUGGUUUUUUCGUAAGAUGGUCGAGUUCAGAUCUGAGGACGAUCAUUCUUGUUAACGCAACAAUUAUAUAGUUAGUGUUAAGAGAGUAAACACAAGAAUCUUGGUCGAGGACUUUGCUAGAUAUCCUCUGCCCAAAUUUUCCCCUGCUUUUAAUUAAGCCUAUAAUGUUUCAUUUCGUCCUUAUCUAUAAGGAAUGCUUUAAUACACUGUAUCUGGACUCCAAUCAUGUGAAAAUACUUCCUUAUCCACAAAAACAGGUGGAUAAGAUGAUUGAUGAUAUCACAACCUACAGGCUUGCUAUCCUGAGAUUGGCGUGUCUAGUCAUGCGGGAAAGCACAGUGGCUUGUUCCAUAUUAAGCGGGGAACUGAAGUGGUUAGUUUGUUUCUAUAACAAAGUUAUUGAAGGAAAUAUAGCAACACAGUUCAAUGUUUACCUUGAGCAAGUUGUUACUUCUCUCUCCACUUUUCGAGAGCAGACAUUUGAGUGACAUGAUAGUCCGGACCCUGGACUGCCAUGAGCAUAAAAUUCUUGAACGUUGCUGUAAACAUGGCAUGAGUGAGAUCAGAAAUUUCCAAAAGAAAGCAGAGGCAUGGAUGUGUGACGGAGGUAGAGAAGUUUUCCAGGUUAAAUAGUGCAGUUGCCAGUUGGUGCCGAGGAAUGAGAAUGUUAAAAGACAUUAUAAAUUAUUGUGACUGCUACAAUGUCAUCGCAUCUGCUAAAUAUGGCACGUAAUGUCAACUCCUUGGGCUUAUCUCUUUGCCUGCAAGGUUCUUCUGCUCAGUCAAAUUCGUGGGUUCAGGGAAAGCUUGCAAUACUCCUUCCUUUUUUUUAAUUUUACUCGUAGCCUAGGCUUUCCUUACAAAAAAAGAGACAUACACACCCUCGUUGACACACAACUGUAUCGAUAUUGGGUUAGAACUGACAUUAUUACUGGGACAUCUAACUGUUGACAACAACACUCCUUCCUUGUGCCGAGGGGAAUGUGGAAUAAAAUCAGAAAGGCCUUUUUUUCUUGUUUUCUUUCUCAGUAUAAAAUAA